UAGGGAAUCUUCCGCAAUGGGCGAAAGCCUGACGGAGCAACGCCGCGUGAGUGAUGAAGGUCUUCGGAUCGUAAAACUCUGUUAUUAGGGAAGAACAAAUGUGUAAGUAACUAUGCACGUCUUGACGGUACCUAAUCAGAAAGCCACGGCUAACUACGUGCCAGCAGCCGCGGUAAUACGUAGGUGGCAAGCGUUAUCCGGAAUUAUUGGGCGUAAAGCGCGCGUAGGCGGUUUUUUAAGUCUGAUGUGAAAGCCCACGGCUCAACCGUGGAAGGUCAUUGGAAACUGGAAAGCUUGAGUGCAGAAGAGGAAAGUGGAAUUCCAUGUGUAGCGGUGAAAUGCGCAGAGAUAUGGAGGAACACCAGUGGCGAAGGCGACUUUCUGGUCUGUAACUGACGCUGAUGUGCGAAAGCGUGGGGAUCAAACAGG
rnacentral:rRNA from 1 species